UACGUAGGGUGCAAGCGUUGUCCGGAAUUAUUGGGCGUAAAGAGCUCGUAGGCGGUCUGUCGCGUCUGCUGUGAAAACUCGGGGCUUAACCCCGGCCUGCAUUCGAUACUGGGCGGCUAGAGUCUGGUAGGGGGAUCUGGAAUUCCUGGUGUAGCGGUGGAAUGCGCAGAUAUCAAGAGGAACACCGUGGCGGCAAGGGCGG
rnacentral:rRNA from 1 species